rnacentral:sRNA from 1 species
UGAAGUUGAAGCUUGCAAAAGCUUUAGCUGUCUACUUUAAGUCUUUCAAUACAUGGUUAGCCAUGGUAAGUCGACUACAUUAUUUAGGCUAUGACACCCUCGGAUGAUACCCUAGUCCGUUGCUCUGU